UCUCUCUCUCUCUCUCUCUCUCCGUCUCUCUCCAUAUGGCAUAUAUCACGCCGAAUGGAAUGCGCACAUUUCAACACAUACAUGAACAUUACACGCAGCUCUCUCGACCCUUUCAAUCUACGUCUCUCUCUCUCUCUCUCUCUCUCUCUGAAUGGCGAAAAUGAAGUCCCCUUCACGUUCCAUACACAUGCAGCAUAUAUCUACUGCACAUGUAUCUGCAACCUUCUCAGCAUUGGACCAUCUCUGCCCCGGAACUCAACCCUCUUCUCUCUGCUCCUAAUAAUCAUUAUGACGAUGUCUCCAGCUAGCAAAGGAAAUCGGAAAGCAAUUGUUGAUGUUGCUGCAUGGAUGUUCAAUGUCGUCACUUCUGUUGGAAUUAUUAUUGUCAACAAAGCCUUAAUGGCUACUUAUGGUUACAGCUUUGCUACAACGUUGACUGGUCUACAUUUUGCCACAACCUCCUUGAUGACUGUUGUUCUUAAGCGGUUGGGAUAUAUCCAGGCUUCUCAUCUACCAGUAUCUGAGCUGCUGAUAUUUGUUGUAUUUUCAAACUUCUCUAUUGUUGGAAUGAAUGUGAGUUUAAUGUGGAAUUCUGUGGGAUUUUAUCAGAUAGCGAAGCUGAGUAUGAUCCCUGUCUCUUGUUUCUUGGAAGUUUUCUUGGACAAGAUGCGAUACUCAAGAGACACGAAGCUUAGCAUAGCAUUAGUUCUUCUGGGUGUUGCUGUCUGUACUGUUACUGAUGUGAGUGUCAAUGCCAAGGGUUUUAUUGCUGCCUUUGUGGCAGUUUGGAGCACUUCUAUGCAGCAGUAUUAUGUGCAUUUUCUUCAAAAGAAGUAUUCGCUAGGAUCUUUCAACCUAUUAGGGCAUACUGCACCAGCACAAGCUGCAUCUCUGCUGUUAUUGGGACCAGUCCUGGACUAUUGGUUGACAAAUAAAAGGGUUGACACCUAUCCCUAUACUUUAGCAUCUGCGUUGUUCAUACUCCUAUCUUGCACCAUCGCAAUAGGGACCAAUCUGAGCCAAUUCAUCUGCAUCAGCAGAUUUACAGCAGUGUCCUUCCAAGUGAUUGGCCAUAUGAAGACUGUUCUUGUCCUGAUAUUGGGUUUCACUUUCUUCGGGAAAGAGGGCCUUAAUCUACAAGUAGUUUUAGGCAUGAUAAUUGCAAUAGUGGGGAUGAUUUGGUAUGGUAACGCCUCUUCUAAACCUGGGUUCGAGCGUUGGAGCCCUUCUUUGCUAAACGAUAAAUCUGAAAAGCAAGAUGGAUUUUCUGAAUACACCGAGCUUAAUGGGAAGGUCUAAGGUAUGUAUCUACUGGGAAUGUAGAAAUAUUUGUAAUAGUGUUCUGCAUCUGGUGUUAAGCUGAUUUGAGACUCCUUUUAUGUCUAAAAGGUCAUCUCUUGGUCUUGAGUGUAUUGAAGGGAUGACACUUGGAAGGAAGAGGUUCAAGUUACCCAUAAAUUCCUGUCAUAUGUCUUGUUCAUCUUUUAUAGUAAUUUAUUUCAAGCUUUCUCUGUUUUCCACUUUUUCAUUGCCUUUCUGGUGGAUGCUGUUGGGCAAGGGUUUUACUUUUAUUUGGUGUUGUUUUUGUUUUACAUUUUUUGGUUUUCCGUAUUUUCUGAAACCAAAUAAUUGAAGUUCGAAAACACAUUCAUAUGCAGGAGGAGGGAGGCAUAGGCAUUCAUGGUGUUUGAUACCCCUGCUGCACACGUGCAUGUACUCCAUAAUUUGUGGACCCUUUUGUUUUGGGUCAAAAUUGAUUGUAUCUAUCUAUUCACGUGUGCCUUGACCACAUGAUCUGUCCUUUUUUAAGUUAAUGGAAAUUAGAUUAGAUAAGGAAAUUUUAUCAAUCAUGCAUGCAUUAUAAUAGUCUUGGUUCAUUA